GUUGCGGUUAAAAAGCUCGUAGUUGGAUUUCUGUCGAGAACGCGCGGUCCACGCUUCGCGUGAGCAUCUGUGUCGGUCUUGGCAUCCUCUAGAGGAUCGUUUCUGCGCUUGAUUGCGUGGAGCGGAACUCUAGACUUUUACUUUGAGGAAAUUAGAGUGUUCACGGCAGGCAAACGCCUUGAAUACAUUAGCAUGGAAUAAUAACAUAGGACCUUGGUUCUAUUUUGUUGGUUUCUAGAGCUGAGGUAAUGAUUAAUAGGGAUAAUUGGGGGCAUUCGUAUUAACGUGUCAGAGGUGGAAUUCUUGGAUUGCGUUACGACGAACUACUGCGAAAGCAUUUGCCAAGGAUGUUUUCAUUGAUCAAGAAUGAGAGUUAGGGGAUCGAAGACGCU
rnacentral:rRNA from 1 species